GCAGAGGUGUGUGCUGAAUAUUUCCGGCAUCAGUGAAACGUAAAGUGCACGCGCUGAGGAGGGAGGGACAGAGGACGAGACAUGAAGGCAUCUGACCAAUCCGAGCUAUUCAGGACGAAAAGCAUGGAUUGGUCAGCUUUUUCCCAGUCCUGCAGCUGCCACAGAGUGUUGUUCAGACAUUUGUGUAGGUGCUGGCAGAGAAACAAAGACGUACAUUAGGACCCAUUGUCCCCUGUGAUUAUUAAAGUAAACAGAAAUACUGAAGGGGUAUCAUACACAGCUGCACACACUUGAGCCUGUGUUUGUGAAGUGGGAGAAAGGGCCGAUCAACCCUCAAGACUUUGUCAGAGAUGAUCCCAUUAUUUGGGGCUUCUCAAGAGCCGAGCGAACGCUAGGCUGGCUAAUGAGGCUUUGAAGAUCCGUCUUUGGCACAGAAUUCAACUGCAGCAGGGAAGUCCGGAGCGAAAUAGAUUUGGCACAAGAUAAAAUGCUUCAGCCAAGAUCGAUCAUGAAGAUCCCUGCCUCGCUCGGCCUUGUGCUUGUAUUUUGCCUUCAUCUUUGUUUUCAAAGUGUGUUUUUAGAAGAUGAAAGUUGAGGUGUGAUGUGUAGUCGACAGGUGCUCUGGUACAGUUCACGCUUAGGUUUACACAAACCAUCACAGGGCUGUAGCUGACUUACUAGGUUAUGUUUGUCAACAAAUACAGUUAUGUUCAUAAUUGUUAAUGGUGAAUUUGGUCUGAACAACUUCAGAAAAUAGUUAAAAAUGUCCGUCACAAGUUCCCAGAUUCCAAUAUGACAUCUUCAAAUGUCUUGUCUCUACGACAAUCCAAGGGCUGCACGAUAAUGAUUUUUUAGUCUUUAAAUGUCAGUUGUAUUUCCCACAGCUUAAGAUGCUUCAAAUGUCUUGUUUUGUUCACAACCCAAAGAUUGUCAGUUUACUGUCAAAGUCAAGUAAAGAAACCAGGAAAUAGUCACAUUUAAAGCUGGAAUCAGAUUUUUGACUUUUCUUGAAAAACAAAUUAUCAAAAUUGUUGCCUAUUAAUUAGUUGACAGCCAACCAAUUAAUCGUUGCAACUCAAACGAUUAGGAAGGAAAUCUUUACAUUUUGAAGCUUGAAACUUUAGUCAAUUGAUAAUUAACCAAUCAAUUCAGAUCAUUGUUUAACUAAAAGUAAUAGAUAGAAGAUAUAUAAAGUAAAAUAAAGAUGCAAGACAAAGGUUUUAGUACAUAAAAUUCUUGAGAUGUUUAAUGUUUAAAAUUGUUUCUUUAAAUAGAUACAAUUAUUUUAUGUAUAGGAUAGUACAACGAAAAUCCAACAGUGGAGCUCAACAUAUAUUCCAGAUGUGCGUUUUGAACAUGACUCCAAACAUUCUGCUCCAAAAGUACCAAUAUACUGCACGUAUAUUUAAAAAAACAAAAACAAAUAGUGUCUGCUCUGUGUUUUGUAUAGUCUCUGUGAAUGAACAGUGCAUUCAUGUGUGACUGUUUUACUACAAGCUCCUAACAGUUCGAUCAACAUUUUCAGAUUGUGAUAGUCAAAGUAUCUGCCUGGCAACAGCAAGGUAGGUCCAACACAAAUUAAAAUAAAAAGACAGGACGUACAUGACUGUGCGAAGCAGGGAUAUGACUGAACAGAAUAACCUCACAACAUGUCGACAAUCCCAGACAUUUGCUCACAGCAAUGACUAUCAGCAAACAGAGGUAUCGGUCAAUCCUGUGUCAACGUUCAACACAUCUUGAACUAAUCUGAUUGAGCUCUGUUUGGCCCCGCUGUGGAAAAUCUGGCUGAGGAGCAUCAGCUAAUGAGCAGGGGGGAAUAUCAUGCAGCCAACUGUU